rnacentral:rRNA from 1 species
UACGUAGGUGGCAAGCGUUGCCCGGAUUUAUUGGGUUUAAAGGGUGCGUAGGCGGUCGAAUAAGUCAGUGGUGAAAUACGGCAGCUUAACUGUCGAGGUGCCAUUGAUACUGUUUGACUUGAGUACUGAUGAGGUAGGCGGAAUGGACGGUGUAGCGGUGAAAUGCUUAGAGAUCGUCCAGAACACCGAUAGCGAAGGCAGCUUACUAGGCUGUAACUGACGCUGAGGCACGAAAGUGUGGGGAUCAAACAGG